UGGGGUAUAUUGGACAAUGGGCGAAAGCCUGAUCCAGCCAUGCCGCGUGUGUGAAGAAGGUCUUCGGAUUGUAAAGCACUUUAAGUUGGGAGGUAGGGCAGUAAGCGAAUACCUUGCUGUUUUGACGUUACCGACAGAAUAAGCACCGGCUAACUCUGUGCCAGCAGCCGCGGUAAUACAGAGGGUGCAAGCGUUAAUCGGAAUUACUGGGCGUAAAGCGCGCGUAGGUGGUUCGUUAAGUUGAAUGUGAAAGCCCCGGGCUCAACCUGGGAACUGCAUCCAUAACUGGCGAGCUAGAGUAGGGCAGAGGGUGGUGGAAUUUCCUGUGUGGCGGUGAAAUGCGUAGAUAUAGGAAGGAACGCCAGUGGCGAAGGCGACCACCUGGGCUCAUACUGACACUGAGGUGCGAAAGCGUGGGGAGCAAACAGG
rnacentral:rRNA from 1 species